GAGAAAUGAGGAAACAUAAUAUUUCUGAGUUUCUGUGACCGCUAAAGAUCCAACUCUGAUCUCACUCGCCUU